rnacentral:rRNA from 1 species
UACGAAGGGGGCUAGCGUUGCUCGGAAUCACUGGGCGUAAAGCGCACGUAGGCGGCUUUCUAAGUCAGGGGUGAAAUCCUGGAGCUCAACUCCAGAACUGCCUUUGAUACUGGAGAGCUCGAGUCCGGAAGAGGUGAGUGGAACUCUGAGUGUAGAGGUGAAAUUCGUAGAUAUUCGGAAGAACACCAGUGGCGAAGGCGGCUCACUGGUCCGGUACUGACGCUGAGGUGCGAAAGCGUGGGGAGCAAACAGG